AGCUCCAAUAGCGUAUAUUUAAGUUGUUGCAGUUAAAAAGCUCGUAGUUGGAUCUUGGGUCGUAAAGGUCGGUCCGCCUACUCGGUGUGCACCUGCCCUUCCGUCCCUUUUGUCGGCGGCGUGCUCCUGGCCUUAAUUGGCUGGGUCGCGGCUCCGGCGCUGUUACUUUGAAAAAAUUAGAGUGCUCAAAGCAAGCUUAUGCUCUGAAUACAUUAGCAUGGAAUAACGUGAUAGGAGUCUGGUCCUAUUGUGUUGGCCUUCGGGACCGGAGUAAUGAUUAAUAGGGACUGUCGGGGGCAUUCGUAUUUCAUUGUCAGAGGUGAAAUUCUUGGAUUUAUGAAAGACGGACCACUGCGAAAGCAUUUGCCAAGGAUGUUUUCA
rnacentral:rRNA from 1 species